rnacentral:rRNA from 1 species
GUGGGGAAUAUUGGACAAUGGGCGAAAGCCUGAUCCAGCCAUGCCGCGUGAGUGAUGAAGGCCUUCGGGUCGUAAAGCUCUGUCGCAGGGGAAUAACACAAUGAAGGUACCCUGUAAGAAAGGAUCGGCUAACUUCGUGCCAGCAGCCGCGGUAAGACGAGGGAUCCUAGCGUUGUUCGGAAUCAUUGGGCGUAAAGCGGAUGUAGGUGGCUAUGUAAGUCAGAUGUGAAAGCCUGGGGCUCAACCCCAGAAGUGCAUUUGAUACUGCGUAGCUUGAGUGUCGGAGAGGUUACUAGAAUUGUUGGUGUAGUGGUGAAAUACGUAGAUAUCAACAGGAAUACCGGAGGCGAAGGCGGGUAACUGGCCGAACACUGACACUGAGAUCCGAAAGCGUGGGGAUCAAACAGGAUUAGAUACCCCGGUAGUCC